rnacentral:lncRNA from 1 species
GCCCACCGAGCCGACCUCGCACACGCCGUUCGUGAGCCCCUGCGGCUGACAUGCCCGGCCCUGCCCCCUUGGCACCGCAGCCCUGCCGCCUUGGCACCGCCGCCCAUUGCCCCACCCCCAUGCUGCGUGCCAUGUAAGAAUAAAGCCAGGUCCCCAUCAAGCCGCAGCAUAUAUCCCCGCCAAGCCACCACACUCCUCUUGCCGCACGCUACCAACCACCACCAGCACAGGACCGGCACCUGCCUGUCCCCCUGUUUAGUUUGGGCUGAUAUUUACAACCCCCCACCCUCCCCUCCCCACCUUCCCCAUUGCCAACCUCGCCCACCGCGCCGACAUACACGCCGGCACCUCGCUCGUGCCUCUCGAGGCCUCCCAUCUUCCGUAGCUAGAGAUCCCCAUCCACUAGCAUCCACUUGGGCUCCAGCCCACUCCUGAUGCACACGCCAGCAUUAUCCAGGUCUGCAUGGUUUGCAUGUCUGCCUACCGUGCACGCACACCUGCCUAGCUACGCCGACCUACUACCGUCCUCCUCGACCCGACCCGCCGCCGCCGCCGCCUCCCUCUGGCCGCCGUGCCGGCCGCACCAGCAGCUGCUGUUGUGGGUUGCCGCCAGAGCCGCCGCCGCCCUUGCUGGUAGUGGUGGUGGUUGCGGGCUGCUGCGGCGCGGCCGUAAUGACAGCCGCAGCGCCGCCCACGGCACCCACUGCCACUGUUUCCACCGCCACCGCCGGCUGCUGCAGCCGGCGCAGCAGGUAGGCCUCCUGCUCCUCCGGGCUCUUCAGGCCCGCCCACUCCCAGUACGGCAGCACAAGAACGCCGCCGCCCUCCCCGAACGCCCGCCGCAGCUGCCGAAUGCGCAUGGCCGUACCACCGUCAACAGCGGUGGGGUCGCGCUUUAGAUUGGACAGAAAGCGUGCCGGUCCGAGGAGCUCCACCGCCGCCUGCUGCCCGUCACUCAGCCGCACCACCGCAUCCACUGGCGCCAACGCGCCUUGCGCGACCACGCCCGUUUGUACGGACACGACGGCAAGGCCUCCUGCUGCCUCACGCCCCUGGUGCUGCUCAAGCCGCCGCAGCGCUGCGACGACCUGCUUUUGGAUGUCAGAUGUGGGCUUGGCGUUUUCCCUCUCAGCAGUCACCGCCGCUGCCAUCGCCGCCUGCAGGCCGGGGCUGCUCCCCAGGGCCGCCGCAACCUCGCCGCCUAGCUCUUGCUGCGCCUGCCACAGCUGAUUGAGAUUCUCAGUUGUAAAACCCUCCCAACGGCUUACUGCUUCACGGGCUAGCUGAAUGGAUAGCUGCUGCAUGUCGGGAGAAUACGUGCCUCCAAUCACCGCCAUGGCCCACAGGCUGUUUGAUAUGUUUUGGUUGUUUACCGCCUGCCUGUCGCGCUGCAGCAGCUCGCCCAGCCGGCCGCACACCGCCGCCUCCAAGCCAGCGUGCCGCAGCUGCAGCACCGCCAGCGCCCAGAGCGUGUUUGCACAGUUCUGACCACCGGCACUACUGGCGCGCAUGGCUGCUGCUGCUGCACCCGCAUCCAGCAGCUCCGGCGGCGGCUGGUGGCGCAUCAACGCAAGCGCGUACAGCAGGUUGGCCCAGGCCUGAGGCGUCGCACGGGCCAUGACGCCCGGCCGCAUUGCUGCGACCACCGCUGCCGAAGCCCACUGCCGCUGCUCUGCCGGCGCCUCCGGGCCCACCCCAAAUCCGAUCUUGGCCAGGGCCCACGCUGAGUUGCUGAGGUCCUGAGCCACGUACCCGGCAAAUCCCCGACGCACGUCCUCUGCGGCCACUGCCACCACCAGCUCUGCCUGCUCGCCGCCCAGCUGCAGCCCCUCCAGCGCCAGCAGGAUGUUGGACAGAUGCUGCGGCUUGAACGCUUCAGCAUCCUUCGGUGCUCGGAGCUGCCGCAGCGCCUCCCCGCACAGCGCCUCAACUGCUGAUCGGUACUCUGGUCCCAUGCAACCCAAAGCCGCAAACGCCCAGAGGGUAUUGGACAGAUGUUGCGUCUCCAUGCUGAGACUGAGCGCCGCUGCCGCCUCUGCCAGCGGCAGCAGGAGUUCCGGUUCCGGGUAACCCAGCUUGGCGCACGCCCAGAGAAUGUUGGACACGUCCUGUGCUGUGAAGCCGUGACCAACCGCCACUCCCAACCGGGAGGCCACAGCUGCCGCCAAGGUCUGCAAGUGCGGAGAUGAGGUGGGGUCCCAGCCUGAGCCCCGCUGCUCCUGGUCUUGCUUGAUCUUGCCGAGUGCGUACAUGACGUUUGUAAGACUUUGAGGUUUUGCAGUUCCAAGAACCUCUGAAUCCAACAGCCGCUCCAGCAGCGCUGCUAUGAGCUGAGCCUCCAUGGCCGAGCCGCCGCUGAUCCCUGCUUUCCCCAGCGCCCACAGCACGAUGCUGCAAUCAACCGCCUUGCGGAUGCGCGGCACGAGCGGCAGGUAGGCCGGCGCAAGCAUGCCGAUAAUGCUGCUGCGUGCUACAGCCGUUUGGCUUGCUCCAGCGCGCGACUCCAGCUGCGUUCAAAACAGUUAUGAGGGACAUACAUGGGGUCAAGUGCUAUAUGCAUGUGUUUGUGCGUGUGCGUGAACAGGUGCGCAUGCAAGUCCUGUGUGGCCAUCUGCGUCGUGAGAACCGGAAGUCCGGGCCGAGAAUGACAACAAUUGGACUCGCCCUCAAUUCUGCACUUUAUUUCUCUGCCCAUUCCCACCUGCACGUUUUAGUCCUCCCUCUCACCUUGCCGCACAGGUUGAACGCCGCACACAUGGUAAUGAAGUCUUUUCGGCCCUCCCACACUGAUAGCCGCUGGCUGAUGAUAGCUUGCAGGUCCUCCAGAGUCCGACACACGGUCAUGUCAUCCGCGGGGUCACGCCCGCUGCCCCUGCUUCUGCCGCUGGCGCGGCUGCCAUCGCCUGCCCUGCCUCCGCCGCUUCCCCUACCCGCCGCCGCCUGCACUAUUGGCCGCCCGAGGCGGGAGCUACUGCUGCCGCAGAGCACUACCGCCGUCGAGACGCGCAGUGGGGAUGAGCUGCUACUGUUGAGUGCUGGGACAGAAGUAGCGGCGGCAGCGCGCGGUGAGCUGGGGCCGGUGUCGGCAGCGGUCCGAUGCAUGCCAUAAACGAACAGUCUUCUAAACGCGCACGCCGGUGGCGGUGCCUGGAGACGGGCUGAUAACGAAUGGCUACAGCCAUGUACGCUGUGCCUGUGCGCACCAGCGGGAGAGCCCGCGACGACGCGCAGGGCGAGCAUCUCGGGCCUCCUCACGGCGGCGACCUGAGCUAUAGCGACUCUAUCCGUCUACGUGUCUGAGCACUGCAAAUGCAUUAGGCUUGCAUUUGUGGGAGAAUAACGCAAGGAACGAAAGGUCAGGUGCGUGUAGGUCGCUGGGCCAAAGCCGCCUGAGUAGCUGUGGCUUGGUAUGGAUGAUAAAGCAACUGAAUCAAUUUGCCACCGGUGUUGAGGCGAGGGCGACCUGACCGCGAAAUACACGGCCCGAGGGCACGCCCCGUAUCAACACCCCUCGCGACCUCCAAACACGUGCACUGAACCGCGAAGCCCUCCCCCAAGCCUAUCGCGGCUGCUAUUCCCAUGUCCUCCUCCCCAACCAUUCUGCAUACAGGCUCUGGCGUGAGUCCCUGCCCGCGUCAUUUGACACCCGUCGACCACGACUGAGGUGCAACGCAUGUCGCUUACAAUUCCAACAUCCCGCCCGACACGAGAGGGGCAGAAACGGCGGGGCAGACGGCCAGCCUCUUGAACAUGAGCAUAGCAGUGCCAUAGCGCACAUUGGGUCCCCGCCUGCUUCACCUGGCCACCUUUGCUGAUUUGUCUGACAUCCCUGUCUACACACUUUUAUCCGCCCACGCUUGAGACGUCCUCCUCAGCGCGCAGGCUUCACGGUACCAACCGUGCGGUAUCAUCGCUACAUGAUGAGUGCACUGCCCCAACCAUUGAAGCAUCACAAGGUGCUUGCCUGCCGCCGCCGCCGCUGAUACGUACACGAUUGCUGCCACACAACCAACACAUCACACCCAACAAUCACAACAACAAAACAACUGAGACCCGCCGCCGCGCAACGCACACUGCUGUACACGCCCCAGGGCCGAGAACACAACGCAACACAAGCACCUGACAUGCCUCAUCCAGGCAUGCGUCACUCAAUCGCCCACCGAGCCGACCUCGCACACGCCGUUCGUGAGCCCCUGCGGCUGACAUGCCCGGCCCUGCCCCCUUGGCACCGCAGCCCUGCCGCCUUGGCACCGCCGCCCAUUACCCCACCCCCAUGCUGCGUGCCAUGUAAGAAUAAAGCCAGGUCCCCAUCAAGCCGCAGCAUAUAUCCCCGCCAAGCCACCACACUCCUCUUGCCGCACGCUACCAACCACCACCAGCACAGGACCGGCACCUGCCUGUCCCCCUGUUUAGUUUGGGC